rnacentral:tRNA from 1 species
GCGCCAGUAGCUCAGCGGAUAGAGCGCCAGCCUCCGGAGCUGGAAGUCACAGGUUCGAUCCCUGUCUGGCGCACCA